rnacentral:rRNA from 1 species
UUGAAAGGGAAACGAUUGAAGUCAGUCGUACCGACGAGAAAUCAGCUUUUCGAAUGUGCAUUUGUGGGCGUAUGAGAUCUUCGUUGUUUGCAAUAUGUAUAUUUCUUUGGUGUACUUUUUCGUAUGGUAGGUCAACGUCGGUUUUGGUCGCCAUAAAAUGAUCGGAGGAAUGUAGCUUCGACCUCGGUUGAAGUGUUAUAGCCUUUGGUAAAUGUGGUGAUUAGGACCGAGGAUUGCAACGAAUACCUUUUAGGCUAUCCGUCUGACCUCUGAAAGUUACUUAGGUGCCGAAAGCUUGCUUACGGUCAUUUAAGUUGACGGUCAAUAGGUUAGAACGUGAUCACAACGUUAAGGAUGUUGACGUA